CAAGGGUUAGUUUAUGAUAAAAUAUCAGUUUUGGAGAUUGAUGAUAGAAAGAUUUCUACCCUUGA
rnacentral:tRNA from 1 species